rnacentral:rRNA from 1 species
GAUGAACGCUGGCGGCGUGCCUAAUACAUGCAAGUCGAGCGAAUGGAUUAAGAGCUUGCUCUUAUGAAGUUAGCGGCGGACGGGUGAGUAACACGUGAGUAACCUGCCCAUAAGACUGGGAUAACUCCGGGAAACCGGGUCUAAUACCGGUUAAUAUUUUGAACUGCAUGGUUCAAAAUUGAAAGGCGGCUUCGGCUGUCACUUAUGGCUGGACCCGCGUCGCAUUAGCAAGUUGGUGGGGUAACGGCUCACCAAGGCAACGAUGCGGAGCCGACCUGAGAGGGUGACCGGACACACUGGGACUGAGACACGGCCCAGACUCCUACGGGAGGCAGCAGUAGGGAAUCUUCCGCAAUGGACGAAAGUCUGACGGAGCAACGCCGCGUGAGUGAUGAAGGCUUUCGGGUCGUAAAACUCUGUUGUUAGGGAAGAACAAGUGCUAGUUGAAUAAGCUGGCACCUUGACGGUACCUAACCAGAAAGCCACGGCUAACUACGUGCCAGCAGCCGCCGUAA